CACGUAGGCGGCUUUGUAAGUUAGAGGUGAAAGCCUGGAGCUCAACUCCAGAAUUGCCUUUAAGACUGCAUCGCUUGAAUCCAGGAGAGGUGAGUGGAAUUCCGAGUGUAGAGGUGAAAUUCGUAGAUAUUCGGAAGGACACCAGUGGCGAAGGCGGCUCACUGGACUGGUAUUGACGCUGAGGUGCGAAAGCGUGGGAGCAAACA
rnacentral:rRNA from 1 species